GAUGAAGAACGUAGCGAACUGCGAUAAGAAUGUGAAUUGCAGAAUUCAGUGAAUCAUCGAGUCUUUGAACGCACAUUGCGCCCCCUGGCAUUCCGGGGGGCAUGCCUGUCCGAGCGUCAUUGCUGCCCUUCAAGCCCGGCUUGUGUGUUGGGUCGUCGUCCCCCCCGGGGGACGGGCCCGAAAGGCAGCGGCGGCACCGCGUCCGGUCCUCGAGCGUAUGGGGCUUUGUCACCCGCUCGAUUAGGGCCGGCCGGGCGCCAGCCGGCGUCUCCAACCUUCUAUUUUACCAGGUUGACCUCGGAUCAGGUAGGGAUACCCGCUGAACUUAAGCAUAUCAAUAAGCGGAGGA
rnacentral:misc_RNA from 1 species